UUGUGGUUAAUGAGAACAUAUUUAGUACUGUUCGGGAGUUCGCUUUUUUUGUACCUCCUAUGCCCUGGUAAUGCCGAGUUUAUCAGCCAGUUCCUGAGAAAUUAAAUUCACUUGUGAUCCGGAAUCGAAUACAGCGCGGCAUUUGUGACGUGCUUCGGUAGGACCUUGAACUUCCACUUGCGGUUGCUAGUAGUACAUAAGGUGUUGUAAGUUGGCAGGUUGUGGAUGCGCUUGUUCGCGUGGACGUAUUAUGCAGCAUUGACUUGAGAACCUAGAUUUGCAUGAGUUAACUGCAUGGUAUAGGGUGUAGUAUGCACAUAUAUUGAAUACCCACUUGUAAUGGUCACCUGUGCUGCCAAUUCGAGUUUCAAAAAAAUUAGAUUAGAAUAACGUCUAAUCUUAACGAAACUCUCCACUUUUAUCGAUAGGUGUUAGCAAUUUUUUUUGUUUUAUUCAUUCCUAAUGUGCAUACUAGGCGUUCGUACUUACCUUGACAUUAGCCCUAGCAGCUUUUUAGGUGCCUUCAAAAGUCUUUUUCUUUUUUGAGCUGUCAAACUAAGCAGAUGCACACCUUAGUACCAGCUACAACAUAUAUAUAAAUCAAGUGGGUGAAACACGUGCAAAUUGAUCACAACAAAAUAAAACAAAUUAAAUCUGAAAAAUCCCCACACAUCAUUGGGCAAAGAAGUAAAGCAAAGACAUCAUUAAAGUCGCAAACAAACCUAGCCUGGGAUCAGGCGUCUUCUAUGGCCGAAAAUCCACGAGAGUCCCACCCGCACCACCUGGAUUCCAUACCUGGAUCAUUACACAUAGUUUUUAUCAGGAUGAGUAACCCUAUCAAAAAUAAAAAAACACCCACUUAGUUUAUCCCGUCUACAUUUAUUCGCAAAUCAAUACAGAUACACCGGAUAGGAGAAAUUUCGGAUAUCACCUAUAAAUAUAAAACGAUAUCAAAGUAUACAAUAGCGAACGAGAGUCGCCUUCCAAUCGUUUAUUACAUUUCUGUUGUUGUUCACAAACACAAAAAUUAAAUUACAUUAAAAUAUUACGAACUUAUAUUGAACUAGAAAUU